rnacentral:rRNA from 1 species
UGGCCAUGGCCGGCGGCUACCAUGCAGUCGACGGUAACAGGAAGCAGCUUGCUGCUUCGCUGACGAGUGGCGGACGGGUGAGUAAUGUCUGGGAAACUGCCUGAUGGAGGGGGAUAACUACUGGAAACGGUAGCUAAUACCGCAUAACGUCGCAAGACCAAAGAGGGGGACCUUCGGGCCUCUUGCCAUCGGAUGUGCCCAGAUGGGAUUAGCUUGUUGGUGGGGUAACGGCUCACCUAGGCGACGAUCCCUAGCUGGUCUGAGAGGAUGACCAGCCACACUGGAACUGAGACACGGUCCAGACUCCUACGGGAGGCAGCAGUGGGGAAUAUUGCACAAUGGGCGCAAGCCUGAUGCAGCCAUGCCGCGUGUAUGAAGAAGGCCUUCGGGUUGUAAAGUACUUUCAGCGGGGAGGAAGGGAGUAAAGUUAAUACCUUUGCUCAUUGACGUUACCCGCAGAAGAAGCACCGGCUAACUCCGUGCCAAGCAGCCGCGGUAAUUACGGAGGGUGCAAGCGUUAAUCGGAAUUACUGGGCGUAAAGCGCACGCAGGCGGUUUGUUAAGUCAGAUGUGAAAUCCCCGGGCUCAACCUGGGAACUGCAUCUGAUACUGGCAAGCUUGAGUCUCGUAGAGGGGGGUAGAAUUCCAAGGUGUAGCGGUGAAAUGCGUAGAGAUCUGGAGGAAUACCGGUGGCGAAGGCGGCCCCCCUGGACGAAGACUGACGCUCAGGUGCGAAAGCGUGGGGAGCAAACAGGAUUAGAUACCCUGGUAGUCCACGCCGUAAAACGAUGUCGACUUGGAGGUUGUGCCCUUGAGGCGUGGCUUCCGGAGCUAACGCGUUAAGUCGACCGCCUGGGGAGUACGGCCGCAAGGUUAAAACUCAAAUGAAUUGACGGGGGCCCGCACAAGCGGUGGAGCAUGUGGUUUAAUUCGAUGCAACGCGAAGAACCUUACCUGGUCUUGACAUCCACGGAAGUUUUCAGAGAUGAGAAUGUGCCUUCGGGAACCGUGAGACAGGUGCUGCAUGGCUGUCGUCAGCUCGUGUUGUGAAAUGUUGGGUUAAGUCCCGCAACGAGCGCAACCCUUAUCCUUUGUUGCCAGCGGUCCGGCCGGGAACUCAAAGGAGACUGCCAGUGAUAAACUGGAGGAAGGUGGGGAUGACGUCAAGUCAUCAUGGCCCUUACGACCAGGGCUACACACGUGCUACAAUGGCGCAUACAAAGAGAAGCGACCUCGCGAGAGCAAGCGGACCUCAUAAAGUGCGUCGUAGUCCGGAUUGGAGUCUGCAACUCGACUCCAUGAAGUCGGAAUCGCUAGUAAUCGUGGAUCAGAAUGCCACGGUGAAUACGUUCCCGGGCCUUGUACACACCUCCCGUCACACCAUGGGAGUGGGUUGCAAAAGAAGUAGGUAGCUUAACCUUCGGGAGGGCGCUUACCCACUUUGAUGCAUUGGGG